GCGUGCAGUUAUGUCUACAGAUUCACGCGCGUCACAAGCAAGUGCCACGUGUAUGUGCGCGCGUGUCUAUCGGCUUUAACUACACGCACUACGUCU